UGCCUCAGUAACGGCGAGUGAAGCGGCAACAGCUCAAAUUUGAAAUCUGGCUCCUUCGGAGUCCGAGUUGUAAUUUGUAGAGGAUGCUUCGGCUUACGCCCCGGUCUAAGUUCCUUGGGACAGGACGUCACAGAGGGUGAGAAUCCCGUUUGUGGCCGGCGGCCUCCGCCAUGUGAAGCUCCUUCGACGAGUCGAGUUGUUUGGGAAUGCAGCUCUAAAUGGGAGGUAAAUUUCUUCUAAAGCUAAAUACCGGCCAGAGACCGAUAGCGCACAAGUAGAGUGAUCGAAAGAUGAAAAGCACUUUGGAAAGAGAGUUAAAAAGUACGUGAAAUUGUUGAAAGGGAAGCGCUUGCGACCAGACUUGCCCGCGGAUGCUCAGCCGGUCCUUCGGCCGGUGCACUCUUCCGCGGUCAGGCCAGCAUCGGUUCGGGCGGCUGGAUAAAGGCCUCGGGAAUGUGGCUCCCCUCGGGGAGUGUUAUAGCCCCUGGUGCAAUACAGCCCGCCUGGACCGAGGCCCGCGCUUCGGCUAGGAUGCUGGCGUAAUGGUCGUAAGCGGCCCGUCUUGAAACACGGACCAAGGAGUCUAACAUCUAUGCGAGUGUUUGGGUGUCAAACCCGUGCGCGAAAUGAAAGUGAACGGAGGUGGGAACCCUCGGGUGCACCAUCGACCGAUCCUGAUGUCUUCGGAUGGAUUUGAGUAAGAGCAUAGCUGUUGGGACCCGAAAGAUGGUGAACUAUGCCUGAAUAGGGUGAAGCCAGAGGAAACUCUGGUGGAGGCUCGCAGCGGUUCUGACGUGCAAAUCGAUCGUCAAAUUUGGGUAUAGGGGCGAAAGUAAGUUGACACCUGUUGCUGUCAUGUUUUGGAGACGUAUGCUAACGGAUAUCGUUUAGGACUAAUCGAACCAUUAGCGCUGCUAGGUGGUUGAGAGGCGGCUGAAAGCGCCGUCUAGUCCCUCCAUCGGGGCGACACCGUCAAAUUGCGGGGACCUCCUGAGAGCCUGAACUACCGCGGCCCGCCGAAAGGCAGGGUGCAGCACCGGGGUAAUGACCUAGGGGAUGGUAAAAACGUUCAGGAUUGGAUGAUCCGCAGCCAAGUCCUACGUCGCCUGCGGGCGAUACGGAUGCAGUUCACAGACUAGAUGUCGGUGGGUGCGGCCCCCUGUGGCCGUGCUUAAGAUAUAGUCGAUCCCUCGCGGAGACGCGGGCGGCAGGCCAAAGUCUCCAGGCGGAUGGCCCCGGACACCGGGGCGCCUGGCGGACCCGAAGCCUGCCGGGAGGGGUGGU
rnacentral:rRNA from 1 species